rnacentral:sRNA from 1 species
UCAGCUUCCAGACUUUAGAAGCUUCACACAUGAGCAGAAUUCUCUUGGGACUAUGGCCCUAGGCUCUAGGCUAUCUGCUUGAUCUGAGAGUGAAAGGACAUCCUGCACACCCCUAUCCUGUGUUCUGAAAACUUUUCAAAGCCCAUUCAUCUGAGACUGGUUCAUCCACAGAGCAUGUAAUUCUGAUUGGUGCAACAGACUGGAAGAGUGAAAGACGUCAUCUCCCAAGGGCAAGUGCUGUGCUAGUGGACACUGAGGAGCUGCAGGGAUCAGACCCCUCCCCAUCCUUCUCCAGCCUCUUUUGUUCUUCCUUGAUAAGUUUCCUGCAGAUCUAAAAGAUCCAGGCAGUCCAUGACAUGGGUUUGAACUUAAUCUCAGGACAUUUUAUUCAUUGCC